GUGGGGAAUCUUGCGCAAUGGGCGAAAGCCUGACGCAGCCAUGCCGCGUGAAUGAUGAAGGUCUUAGGAUUGUAAAAUUCUUUCACCGGGGACGAUAAUGACGGUACCCGGAGAAGAAGCUCCGGCUAACUUCGUGCCAGCAGCCGCAGUAAUACGAAGGGGGCUAGCGUUGCUCGGAAUUACUGGGCGUAAAGGGCGCGUAGGCGGACAGCUUAGUCAGAGGUGAAAGCCCAGGGCUCAACCUUGGAAUUGCCUUUGAUACUGGCUGUCUUGAGUUUGGGAGAGGUGAGUGGAACUCCGAGUGUAGAGGUGAAAUUCGUAGAUAUUCGGAAGAACACCAGUGGCGAAGGCGACUCACUGGCCCAAUACUGACGCUGAGGCGCGAAAGCGUGGGGAGCAAACAGGAUUAGAUACCCUUGUAGUCC
rnacentral:rRNA from 1 species